UCUGAUUAUUGCUACUGUUAUCUGUCUGUCUGUAUCUAUUCCAAUCCCAUCCAUCCAUCCAUGUCUGCCUGUCUUCUGUCUGUCUAUCUAUCUACUCAUCUAUCAGCUGUGGUGGCACAGUGGUUAGAACGCACUGUCGCAGGCUAAUUCUGCCCACUACCAGCAGUUCGAUCUUCACCGGCUCGAGGUUGACUCAGCCUUCCGUCCUUCCGAAGUCAGUAAAAUGAGGACCCAGAUGGUUGGGAGGCCAAGAGGCUGACUCUGUAAGCGGUUGGGAGUGGGCUGUGCAGCACCGUGAAGAGGUAUAUAAGUCUUAAGUGCUGUUGCUGUUUUUUCCCUCCUCCUUCCCCCUCCCUCCCUCCCCCUCUAGGAAGAAGAAGCCAAACACCUCGUGAGAGAUGCUAUUGCAGCCGGCAUAUUUAAUGACCUGGGCUCUGGCAGUAACAUCGAUAUCUGUGUCAUUAACAAGAGCAAGCUGGACUUCCUCCGUCCGUACAACACACCAAACAAAAAGGGGGAAAGGCAAGGAAAAUACCGGUGUGAGAAGGGCACCACGGGCAUCCUAUCGGAAAAGGUUAUCUGCCUGGAACUGGAAGUGGCGGAGGAGACGGUGCAGACCAUGGACACGUCCUGAUUCCCGGCAGAGAGUCCGGGACACGGUUAGGGGACCGAGAGUAUUCCUUCAAAGUCAAAAUAAUUUGUUACAAUUAACCGAAUGAAUAAAUGAAUAAUAAAUAAUGGAAACAGGGCGGGUUGUUCUUGUAAUUUGGAGGAGGGCAGGGAAGAGUGUUGUGGCCUGUCGGCCCCUCCAGCAACCGAAUCGGAGGAGGAGGGGGAGAUGUAGGAGUUAGGGUCAGCAUCAAGGCAACCUGAGAGCUCUGAGGGGGAAGAGGAAUGGAGGUGUCAGACAGACAGACACAGGCGGAGCCUGGGCCAUCCGUCAUCCCUCACAUGGAGAGUCAAGAGCCCCCAGGUCUGGAGGUGGCUGAUGAGGAAGAGGAGGAACAGUGCCU
rnacentral:lncRNA from 1 species